UUGUCUUUGUCCUCCUACGCCUCUUCGGUCGCCUAGGCUUGUAAAGGGCGGCGGCGGCGUCCGUGCAGUUUCUUUGGUCGUUGAUUUCAUCUCCUGCGGACCUGCAGCCCUCUUGAAUCUAUCUUGAGUAUGAGAUUGCUGGCUACGUUUUCUUUCACAAGUGCGCAAAGCAGACACAUCGUUUCAAUUUCUGCUCGAGGUAGCCCGGCACAUCAUCCUCAUCCUUCACAGCGGUAACAUUCUUCAAAGUUCGACCUGAAGGUCCCUAUUUUCCUUUUCCGACUCUGUAAUUUAUCCCCUUUUUCUUAUCUUUUUUCAGUAUAAUGUAAUCAACGAAAUGACUUUUAGUGGUAAACAUUUCAUAAUUUUUCUUUCUAAUCUCGGAAAAACAUAUGUUUUUUUGUAAGUGCUCUAUAACUGUUGAAUAAGGUAGUAGUACAUAGUAGCUAGUAAUAAGUUCAUGAAAAUUUUAAAAUUUACUUGCAUGUAUGAGCAGACAUACCAAUCAAAAUUAGUACUAUAUCGAUAUAUUAAUUUAUACUGAUCCAAAUUAGAACACGGAAUGGAACUUUGUGUUUAUCUUAAAAACAAUACAAGAAAGUAUGUACUUUUGACCUCACUGCUAGAUUUGUUUCUUUUCACAACUCUUCAUGGUUUCUUGUUGGUAGGGCCUUUUGACAUGUGUAUAGUUUUGUUCGCGAUCUUUAUCUGAAUCAUCCUCUUUGGUAAUUAUAUCUGAACCUGCAGCUCAAAUGUUCCGUACCUCCUUGUCAAAUAGAUUUUCCAGUUUUUUGUCGGCGGUUUCUCUGUUUUUAAGGCGUCCCGCCUUGGACGCUUAGGCGACGCUUAGGCGAUAAGGCGCCCCGCCAGCGCCUUACAAAUAUGCCCGCCUUAGGCGCUUAGGCGUCCGCCUUAGGCGCUUAGGCGUCGCCUAGGCGAUAAGGCGCCCCCCCAACGCCUUAGAUCGCCUUACCGCCUUAAAAACAUAGGCGGUAUCAUGAAAUAAUAGUAGUAUUAAUAUAUACAGAAGAGGGAAAAUAAUUUGAACGAAUACCUAUCGAACAGAUUUUUCUCUAUAAGAACUUUUUGUUAUUUCACGAAGCCUUUCUUUUCAAAUCCUGUUUACAUCUCUUACAUUUUGUCUCUCGUUUUAUCUUCUGCGAAACAGUUUUUGGCUCUGCCUGUGUGGUUUGUGAUGUCAUAAAUAAAUACGCCGUAAAAACUAUUAAUGCAUAUACAGGGUGAAAAUGUUUUCAAUUUGUUACCUUGUCAUCAGGAGCUUCAGUUUUAACAAUUAGUUUUCUGCUAUUACCGGAAGAAAACAUUGACACAUCUUUUUCAUAUUUUUGCUAGACUUCUGUCUCUUUGUCCUCCAUUGUUGUUGUUUUUUUAGAUGAUUUAGAAGUUACCUUUCUGCACAUAUCCUUGUUCUCAUCUUUUGUCGUAGUCUUGGAAGAGUGGUUGCCCGAUAAAAGUAAAAUUAUUUUUUAAUAUUUUAAAGAAAAAUGUGCACACUUGUGACAGCUAAACCAUUAAUUAGUGGCAAUACCUCAUUAUAUGACUUCUGUGUAAUAGAAUUUGAAGAACCCUGUGUAUCUUGCCUUUCCAGUAUGCCCUAUAAAGAACGUAUUGACUUUAUAAGUUCAUAAACCAUUUAAAAUACUAAAAUGUGCAUGUGCAUACCUCUUCAACUAUUUCAUUUGAAUAUUCCAUCUCAAGUUUGUUGUCAUUUUCAAAAGUGAAGCUCGCUUUAAAAUAUUCCAUGCACUCUUGUAGAUUCCUUUAAUAUGAAAUAGCCAACUAUAGCCCCACUAUAGCUGAUGUGAAGGAUUGCUGCUAUUUGGCAUAGCCCGCUAUUUGAUACAUUGGUUCAUACCUAAGCACUGUUUAUCUAUAUUCACCCUACUCUACAAGGUAUCACUAUCAGCAAAUUCGAAGUGGUAGUCUAAAAACUUGGAUUUUUCUCCAUCCACUUCCUUCACUGUUGUAUACAAAAGAAACUGAUUUUAAGAUUGUCCUUCAAUGGUCGGUAUUUUUCAUACUUCCAGACUUUGAAGGUCUUAGCUAUGUAGAUGGAGUCCUCUUUAAUUUUUGCUUUAAAUUUAUUGACCAGUUUGCUCCCAAUGGAAGCAUGGAUCACAUUGCCCUACAUAGAGAGAAAACAUUAGCAAACUUUGGUAAAGGAAAACUUAAGAGACAUUAUAUAUGUAAUACUUGCACCUUAUACAUAAAAAUCAAUCUGUGCUAAUGAGUUCAUUAGUCAAUAAGUUAAUUGUGUCCCAAAGUCUUAAAACUUUGAUUGUCCAUGUCUCGUUUCGUGUAGUCAAUGCAUUCAAUGGUGUAGGUGCCAUAUUCUUUGAGGCCCUAAAAAAUAAGAACAAAAUGUUGAUUAGUAAAGUAAGUUAUGCCAUGCAAGCUUUAUAAAUCCAAAAAAUAUUGUUGCAACUGCCUCCAGUGAUUGUGUGACAACAAAAAAGAUUGAAGAUUUUUUAGACUGGAAUAGAUAUAUGAAAUCAUAGUAGAUUAAUAAAUACAAUUUUAUUAACAGCUGGUCUGAAAUUUUUGUUUCAGAUGAAGCUGCUGGCAUUACGACAGGAACCCACUAUCGAAUUUGAGGUUGGUCAAAUAUGAAAACUAUCUAUAUAUGUUUCUCUAUAUUGCAGCAAGCAACCCCAUUCGUUUCUGUUAUAGAUGUAGUAUGGAUCUAGUCUUCUAGAGUAUAUUAUCUUUAACAUGAAUACACUAGAACCAACAUCCAUGGCAUCAACUUUCUGUAGAUGAAUAAAAGUAUGAACGUGCAAGUUGCAACCAUUAAGAUAUGAACGUGCAACCAUUAAGAUAGGAACCCAUACCUAUAGAAUUGCAUUACUUAAUGUAGAAUACACUUCAUAAUUUCUUUUGUUUCUACAUAACAAACCUUGUGAGGUAACAUGUCUAAUCUUUUAAGAUUAGCACUGCCAACAGUAUAAUUGAAGUAUUAUUGAUCCCUUAAGAGGUCUGAUCUAUAAUAUGAAAACCAUCUGAUGUACCAUAUAUGUUACUCUAUGUCGCAGCAAGCAAUCCCACUUGUUUCUGUUAUAGUUGUAGUAUAAUUCUAAUUUAUAGUGUACAACCUUAACGUGAAUACACUGGAUGCACCAUUCAUGACAUCAGCCUUCUCUAGAUGAGUAAAAAGCAUGAACGCUACACCAUUAAGAUAGGAACCCACACAUAUAGAAUUCUACAUAAUCAACCUUCUGAGGUAACAUGUGAAAUCUUUUUAGAUGAGCGUUGCUUGAGCAUUAUUGAACUAUAAUUGAUCCAUUAACAUGCCUCAUCUAUUUUUUUUACAGAUUGUACUUACUUGGUAUGGUCUGAUUGCUCGACGGAGCUAGCUUGUGCCCGCUGGAGGAAGACAAUUCUGAAGUGCCACUGGUUGUUGGAAGUGGACAUCGAAGUGUUGUUCGUUAGAGGAAGAUAAUGUAGAAAUUGUACCCUAAAACCUAGAGGACAAUGAACCUCUGAGGCUUUGCAGAUUGUACUUACUUGAUAUGGUCUGAUUGCUCGAUGGAGCUUGCUUGUGCCCGCUGGAGGAAGACAAUUCUGAAGUGCCACUGGUUGGGAAAAGUUGACCUCAAAGUGUUGUUCGCCGGAGGAAGAUGAUGUAGAAAUUGUACCCUAAAACCUAGAGGACAAUGAACCUCUGACGCCGUGGAAGCAUUGCAUGGGGAGGUAGUCUAGGGAUGUCUGAGUUUACCAAGUUUGCACGAUGGAAAGAGAGAUAUUCUGUUUGCAGAGAUUGAAUCUUUGUACAUUAUUGAUGAUAGUUUGGAUUUGUUUGGGGAUAUUGUAUCUGCAUGCUGCAUGCGUUAGUUUUUUGGGAAUUGUCUCAUCGCUCAUGGUAUGGUACAAUCUGUACGUGUGGGAGAUGCAAAAAUCAUGUUCGUGUGGGAUGACCCAACUUGUAUGCGUUUCUUUAACAUUGUAUGUUUUUUUGUUGAACGUCCAACCUGGGAUUGUGAAAUCUGAU
rnacentral:lncRNA from 1 species